rnacentral:rRNA from 1 species
UGGGGAAUAUUGGACAAUGGGCGCAAGCCUGAUCCAGCCAUGCCGCGUGUGUGAAGAAGGCCUUCGGGUUGUAAAGCACUUUUGUUGGGGAAGAAAUUGUACGGGUGAAUAUCCCGUGCGGAUGACGGUACCCAAAGAAUAAGCACCGGCUAACUUCGUGCCAGCAGCCGCGGUAAUACGAAGGGUGCAAGCGUUACUCGGAAUUACUGGGCGUAAAGCGUGCGUAGGCGGUUUGUUAAGUCCGUUGUGAAAGCCCUGGGCUCAACCUGGGAAUUGCAGUGGAUACUGGCAAGCUAGAGUACGGUAGAGGAUGGUGGAAUUCCCGGUGUAGCGGUGAAAUGCGUAGAGAUCGGGAGGAACACCCGUGGCGAAGGCGGCCAUCUGGACCAGUACUGACGCGGAGGCACGAAAGCGUGGGGAGCAAACAGG